AUGACGAGACCUCGAACAUACGCCAUUGGACACAAGGUGAACUCGCUCCUCUCCGAACUUUCACUUUCUACAUGUGAGACAUGGCUACUACCUCCAACGUGUGUGCUAUGCAUGAUCAGGUACUUAGAGGAAAGCCACGGAGCCACCACAUCCAACGGACGAGCUAGCGAGGACGCCAAGUACAAGGACCAAGAGAAGAAGCUGCCCGAAGUCUUCAGCCACCGGACGACCGGGCAACGCCGGACGUCCGACACCUGGGCACUCAUCCAGCAAGAAGGGCCAGCCAACGAAAGCUACAGCAACCGGACGUCCGACAAGUACCGGACGUCCGACACACUCCAGCGACCGGACGUCCGACCGUCUCCGGAAAUCCGGCGCCACCUCAACCGAGCCAAAACGCCGGACGUCCGACAAGUACCGGACGACCGGACCCUCGCGAGCCACCGGACGCCCGAUACCUGUUGGACGACCAGCGCCUGUCUGUGCACAGAGAUCCAUGCCCGAGGCCCAUGUAUCCCCCACUUACCCCUUCGUGUCCCUAGACUAUAUAUACUCCUCCACCUCCUCCUCGUUAGGGUUAGCGUUGUGAUAGCUCAUUUGAGAGAUAGAGCUUCGCUCAUCCAUACGGAUCUACUCCUUGAGAGAGACCGCGGCCCCUCUUCGGAGAAGAUCCACCUUGAAUUCAAGACCCCCUCUUGGGCGGCCCCAUCAAGACCUCCUCACGGAGAAGAACCGGUUAUCCUAUGUAUCGUCCUUUGUUGGAUUCGGAUCUUGUAUCUCUUUGUGUUUCGAGGUUCUAGCACAUGUGUGAUCAUACUUGUUGGUUUGAGUGUUCUCUUGUGUUCCCCUCGUGAUUCUCCCCUCGUGUUACCCCUCGUGUUCUUCGCGGGAUCCGCUCCUUUCGUGAAAGAUCGGCCAUCUAGGGUUCCACCCUACAUCACCUCGUCAACACGAACUCGCCAGUGA
rnacentral:rRNA from 1 species